GGCUUUUGGAAAUAAUGUCAUCAUUUUGCACAAAUUAGUAUAACGCAAGUAACACUUAGUUUUAGUGUAGUUUUAGCAAAGUGCUUUCUUAAAGCAUUUACUUAUGGCUAAUGCAGCGUCUUAAUUCGUCUACCUUUCCAGCUACAAGUAGUUCGUUUACCAACACACAUGGUACGGUAUAGUUUCCAUAUUUGAAACAAUGUUGUAUUUCUAUGGGAUUAUCACACUCGAUCGGUUCUUCCUCCUGAGCGAGACAAAGUAUUGCAACCAAAAUAAAUCGCAGAGGACCACAACUAGUUUCAUUGCAGAGGCACACGAUUUUACUUAGAUUCUCAGCAGACGAUAUAAUAUUUAUUUAUAAUUUAGUAGAAAUUGGAAUGAAAAAGUUACUGAAUUACAUGGAAUGUCAAUAUCUGUCGAGAAAUUUGCAAUAAAUGAGUAUUCUAGA